GGCUUCGGAGUGUCAUCACGUGCGGUUGCAAACCGCAAGAAGCAGGUAAUACCUGCCGGGGCUU
rnacentral:tRNA from 2 species